rnacentral:rRNA from 1 species
GCCAGCAGCUAUAUUGCCCUACAACACAUACCUGCCAGCCCACUAAAGCUCAGCAGGUUGGAGCCUGACCAGUUCCUGGAUGGGAGACUUCCUGGGAAAGCAACGGUUGCUGCUGGAA